AAAGAAAAGAAAAGAAGCAGCUCCAUUGUGAGGCUUUAAACAACGGCCGCUUAUUUUGUGCCUCCAGAAUGAAUUUCCAUGAGAAGGAGAAUCAGGACACUGACUUUAAAAUGAGUUCUCCAUCUGCUGGCUCAAGCUGUGAUCAACCCAUAAAGAAUCUGAGCUCUGCCUUUAGUGAUGCAUCAGUGACCUCUGACCCCAGCAGGUGGAAGAGGCUGAGAUCAGAGUCUCCAGAACCCAGUGGUGUGUCUGUGAAGAGUAAUACAUCUAUGAUGAAUCCCCCUGCACUCCGUGAGGCAACAGUGACCUCUGACCUCAGCAGGUGGAAGAGGCUGAGAUCAGAGUCUCCAGAACCCAGUGGUGUGUCUGUGAAGGGUAAUGCAUCUAUGAUGAAUCCCCCUGCACUCCGUGAGGCAACAGUGACCUCUGACCCCAGGUAUGACACUAGAUGUUUUUUUGCAUUGAUCAGAUUAUUUUAUACA